ensembl:misc_RNA
UGAAACAUCCCUGGAGACUGAGCCCUCUGUCCACAGAACAGCUCCAGCAUGGGCAGCAGCAGGACAGUCUUCCCUCAUACAUCACUCCACCAGCAUGCUUCUACAUUGGCCUGGAGAGACAGCGACUAGGAGGUUGGGAUAGUUCAGUCCCCAUUGUCUGUCCAACUCUCAGCUUCU